UAAAUGACUAGUAAAUGACUGAGCAGGGAUUAGCACUUGUCUCUAACUGCAGCCUGAGAACUCCCUUCGCUCGCUGCUUCUGGAGGAGGCUGGAAGAGAAGAGAAGAGUCCUCCAUGUCUUCUCCUUCAGCGGCCCCCUCAUGCCAUGGAAGUUACCUCCGGUUUUUCAAAGACCACCGUUCAAGGCUGCCUCGGCUGUAGACGCCCUCCCUUCUGAGACCAUCCCUGGCUGCCUUUUUCUGAACUUGUUUGUGCUGGCAGAUUACUUUGCCCCAUCGUGCUUGGAAACCUCCCUGGUCAGUUCCCCGUCUCGCCUGCUUGCGACAUCAGAGAUUAGAAAUCAAUCUGACAGCCUAAGAGAAAGCCCACGUUUCCCUAUAAAACCCACAGCCCUCCCCUGCAGUGUUCUGUUGUGAAGGUCAUGAAAGACAGACAUCCACCAUAUCGACUCGGAGCCGUAAUGAGAACCCAGUGUAUUCUGGUUGUACCAACCCCAGAGGGCAGCCUCAGGAGUCGAAGUGGGCCACAAACAGAUGCCUUUGAAAGUUAAUGCGUCAUGUAAUUUAAAAAGGGAAUGGGCCGGACGUAAGAGAGUCACGGUUCUAUGGAUGAUGUUCUUUUUUUGUUGUACUUUCAUAUACGGAAAUGCUCAUUUUAUUUGGCUAACAUUGAGAAUUGAAAAAAUUGAAAGGAAAAAAAAAUACCAUUGUCCCUGUAGCUUGGAAACUGUUGUUCCUGAGGAGAUUUCAAUGUUCCUCAUUAAUAUCUUUGACGUUCCCUGUCUCUCUCUCCUCUUGGACCUUUUGUCUUCCUCUAUAUGAAUUAAAAUGUGUAUCUAAUAAAAAUCUAGCACUUGAAGCAUCACUAGUCAUUCUGAAAGUCUCCAAAUGUUGGGGCAUUCUGGGAGAAUUUACACUAUGCCAAGUAAGUGUCUCUAGGACAAAGACUGCUUCCUUUCUAUCAUUGAAUUUCAAAUUUUUGGCACAGUCCUAUGAAGAUUGAACUCUGCCCCCAAAUACUAGCCAUGUGCUUCUGGGUGAGUCUCAGCUCAAAGGCUCCGUUUCUUUAUCUGUAAAACAAAUCAUGGUAGCAUCUAUUUUGCAGGAGCUAAGGUUGUCUAAUAGAAUGUAUUUUUCAGACCUCUUAGCAUUUUAUAAAUUGUUGCUGAGUUCAUGUACAUAAUGCUUAUUGAUCGGUACUUAAUGGUACCAUAUUGUCAACCAUCCUUUUUACAUGAUAAUGCAUAUAGUCAAAAAUGUAAUUGUGAAACAUUUCUAUUUGAUUUAUAUGGAACUUUUUUACUACUCUCAUAGCAUAGUGGAUAUUUUAGCUUAUUUGAUUGUUAAUAUUUUAAAAAGCAUUUAUAUGUUAUCCAUUCUAUCAAUAAAUCAUGCUAUAUGAGAUGUUUUUGCCUAAUGGAAA